AGUUGACCUCGGAUCAGGUGGGAGUACCCGCUGAACUUAAGCAUAUCAAUAAGCGGAGGAAAAGAAACCAACCGGGAUUGCCUCAGUAACGGCGAGUGAAGCGGCAUAAGCUCAAAUUUAAAAUCCGGCCUCCUCGAGCGCCUGAGUUGUAAUUUGUAGAGGAUGCUUUGGGUUGGGAGAUGGCCUAACUUGCUUGGAACAGCAGGUCACAGAGGGUGAGAAUCCCGUCUACGGCUGCCGACCUUUACCCGUGUAAAGCUCCUUCGACGAGUCGAGUUGUUUGGGAAUGCAGCUCUAAAUGGGUGGUAAAUUUCAUCUAAAGCUAAAUACUGGCCAGAGACCGAUAGCGCACAAGUAGAGUGAUCGAAAGAUGAAAAGCACUUUGGAAAGAGAGUUAAACAGCAUGUGAAAUUGUUGAAAGGGAAGCGUUUACAACCAGACGUGUGGGUGACGGCUCCCGCGGUCCUCUGACCGCGGAACUCCGUCGCCCCCGGGCCAGCAUCGGCUCGGGGGGCCAGUAAAACCCCCUGGGAAUGUAUCUUCCUCCGGGUCGACUUAUAGCCCAGGGCAGCAUAUGGCCCGCCCGGGCCGAGGAACGCGCUUUCGGCCUGGAUGCUGGUGGAAUGGUUGUAAACGGCCCGUCUUGAAACACGGACCAAGGAGUCUAACAUCUGUGCAAGUGUUUGGGUGUGAAACCCGGACGCGGAAUGAAGGUGAACGGAGGUGAGAGCCCCAGCCGGGGUGCAUCAUCGACCGAUCCUGAUGUCUUCGGAUGGAUUUGAGUAAGAGCACAGCUGUUGGGACCCGAAAGAUGAUGAACUAUGCCUGAAUAGGGUGAAGCCAGAGGAAACUCUGGUGGAGGCUCGCAGCGGUUCUGACGUGCAAAUCGAUCGUCAAAUUUGGGCAUAGGGGCGAAAGACUAAUCGAAUCAUCUGGUAGCUGGUUCCUGUCGAAGUUUCCCUCAGGAUAGCAGUAACGAAUUCAGUUUUAUGAGGUAAAGCGAAUGAUUAGAGGCCUUGGGGUUGAAACAACCUUAACCUAUUCUCAAACUUUAAAUAUGUAAGAAGUCCUUGUUGCUUCGUUGAACGUGGACAUUUGAAUGGAUCGUUACUAGUGGGCCAUUUUUGGUAAGCAGAACUGGCGAUGCGGGAUGAACCGAACGUGAGGUUAAGGUGCCGGAAUGUACGCUCAUCAGACACCACAAAAGGUGUCAAUGCAUCCAGACAGCCGGACGGUGGCCAUGGAAGUCGGAAUCCGCUUAGGAGUGUGUAACAACUCACCGGCCGAAUGCAUUGGCCCUGAAAAUGGAUGGCGCUUAAGCGUGCUACCUAUACCUCGCCGUCAGGGUUGAAAUGAGGCCCUGACGAGUAGGCAGGCGUAGG
rnacentral:rRNA from 1 species